CCUACGGGGGGCAGCAGUGGGGAAUAUUGCGCAAUGGGCGAAAGCCUGACGCAGCGACGCCGCGUGAGGGAUGAAGUUCUUCGGAUCGUAAACCUCUGUCAGCAGGGAAGAACGGUCACUGUGCUAAUCAGCAGUGAAUUGCCGGUACCUGCACAGGAAGCACCGGCUAACGCCGUGCCAGCAGCCGCUGGAAUACGGAGGGUGCGAGCGUUAAUCGGAAUUACUGGGCGUAAAGCGCUCGUAGUCGGUAUGUCAAGUCAAGGGUGAAAUCCCCGCGCUCAACGUGGGAACUGCCUUUGAAACUGGCCAACUAGAGUGUGUGAGAGGAUAGUGGAAUUCCAGGUGUAGGAGUGAAAUGCGUAGAUAUCUGGAGGAACAUCAGUGGCGAAGGCGACUAUCUGGCACAUAACUGACGCUGAGGAGCGAAAGCGUGGGUAGCAAACAGGAUUAGAUACCCGAGUAGUC
rnacentral:rRNA from 1 species